AGCUGAUUACUUCACCUGUGCACUGGUUCAAAUAUAAUGAAAACCUGGUCUGUUGGGGGUACUUAAGUGCCAUAGUUGAGAAUCACUACCUAAGUGCAUGCUCUGAUCAGUGCCUGGAGGUGUGCUAUAGAGGCUGAUCUAGUGUUAAAGGACCAGGAAACACAGUAGAUUUGCAUAAUCAACAAAUGCAUGAGAAAAAGACAAUUCAAUAGCACUUAGUCUGAACUUCAACUUAAUAGAUUUUUUUUUCUGACAAUUUUAAAAGUUGUGUCUUUUUCCACUCCCCCUGUACCAUGUGACAGCCAUCAGCCAAUCACAAAUGCAUAUACGUACCAUGUGACAGCCAUCAGCCAAUCACAAAUGCAUACACGUUUAUUCUGUGAAAUCUUGCACAUGCUCAGUAGGAGCUGGUGACUCAAAAAGUGUAAAUAUAAAAAUAUUCUGCACAUUUUGGUAAUGGAAGUAAAUUGGAAAGUUAUUUAAAAUGUCAUGCUCUAUCUAAAUAAUGCAAGUUUAAUUUUCACUUGAGUGUCCCUUUAAGAAAAUAAUAACUCAGGAUUUUUAAACAAACUGCAUUUAUAUUUGGGAAUUGGCUGAUUGGAGGCAUAUUACAAUAGCUAAUGGCAGUACAUGAGCCAUCUAUGGAUUGGGUAGUGUCUGAUUAAAGCAACUAAAACACAAAGGCAGACCAGGCAUUAUUAAUGGGGGGAGGGGGUAACAAAGAUAAUUGAAAAGCUGAGUGGUACUUUGAGAGUUUUAGCCUUCUACUGCCAUUAACCCCGCCCCCGCCCUCUCUAUGCUCUCCAACAAUGUUUAUAGCUGCAAGUAGUAACCAGAUUUUUCCUCUCUUUAUAGCACCUAUGUUAUAUCACCUUGCUGCCGAAGACCUCAUGCUGUUGAUGUUUCUUAUCAUAUGAUUGGAUGGCAGUAUUACACAGCAGCCAAUAAGAGGGCUAGGCAAACCACUGGACAUGUAAAAAAGUAUCUGACCAGUGAUGGUCGAUAGUGAUAAAAUAAUGAUUCAUUGUGCUGGAUCCUCUAGAAAUAUCACUGCUUGAUUUGUGUAGAGUUUAAAGGGGCAUGGAGUCAAUAGUAAGUAGGGUAUAGGGUUUGCUGAUCCACUUAAAGGGACAGUAUAUUAUAAAAUUGUUUUUCCCUUUUAUAUUAGUAUAAAGAUUAUGCAACCUGUGAAAUUCUCUAAUCCCCUCACUGAAUAUCCUUAAUCUUGCGAUAAUCUAUAUAUAGCUUCAUGCAUUUACCCCAAUACACCUAAAUAUUCAGAACUGAUAUUGUAUCGCACCUUAACAAUCCUCUUUUGCUUAAACAGUUUACUGAUAAGGGACAGCCAAGCAUGAAUUACACUUCAAAUCUUAUUUAGUAACUUUUAAAUAUCCUACAUAAAUCAGUGCGUAAAUCAGUGAGUAAAAUUGGCAAAGUGAGGAUAUACCUAUAUUUGCAAAAAGAGAUCUAAACUUCUCUCAAAAGAGCAUAUAUCUAUGUGAAUGAAACUUGUAAUACUGCUUAUUAAAAUUCUGCAAACUUUUUCUCAAUUUAUAUAGUUAAAUACUCAGUGCAGAUAUGCAAAUCUCUAAUUAAAUAACAGACAAUAUUAUCAAACACAUAUGAUAUAUUGUUUAGCUGUCAGAUUAUCCAAGCUUCUUUGCAGGGAUCGCCCGAGUAUAGACAGAUGAAUGAAACUGUCCUUUUGCUGCAGAUAUAGCAUGCACUACCCAGAAGUCCUGAUCCAAGUUCUGCAGUAAAUUUACUUAGUCAGGGUAAGAUAUAUAAUACUGCCCUUAUGCUCCCGCUUCUAAUCCUCAUUUGUGUUAAUUUUAACAAGUGAUUCAUUGUGAGUAAGGUUAAUUUUUAUAAAUACAUUUUAUGAUCUGUUCUGUGUAGAAUAAUUGUAACAGAAUAACCGUGUAUAAUUGAUUCAUAAUCUAGUUUUUACAUAAAUAUAAUUCAAGGUGUCUAUAAAGAUAACUAAUCAAGAAUUAAGGAAUCAAAUAUUAAUUUUUUUAUUUUUUUUUUAAUUUUUAUAACAAAGUUACAGAACAAAAAAAAACAUCUCACACAAACAUUACAAACAAAAUAAGAAUCUCCUUGUUAACUUUAAGUAGACUAUUCGGUCUGGCAAAUAUUAAGUAUUGCUCUUUCUAACUCAAUUCUCAGGUAUUAUGCUCUGGGCAUCAAAUAUUAAUUUUUAAUAAUAUUAUUGUUAUCAAAUUUAUAGAUAUCUAUAUAGUGAUAUUUUGGAAUACACCACAGAGAACUCACUGAAGUAUAUUGACAACAUUUCUGCUAUAUUAAUUGUAGCUAUCGCUGACAAUAGUUUUAUACUGCUAUUAAUUAUGAAUAUACAUAAUUACAUUUUACUGGAGGUUACUACUGAAAUAAUAAUUAAUAAUAAUUUUGUAACCUAGUAUAUACUAACAGCAAUAAAUUCUACAGAUUCCCUGAAAAUGAGACAAAUGGAACACAUGGGAAUUUGACUGGAACAAUGUGAUUGGAUAAUCUGUUUUAUUUUAGUCUCAGCAGAGAAGCCACAAAUUAGCAGAUUCCUAGAAAGAGAAGAUUAAUAAAGGGUGCAAAACCUUACGGAAAAUAUUUUGAUGCUGGAACACAAGUAGUUAAUUACUAUUCACUGCAUACACAAUGAUUCUCAUAUGGUCAUUUACCUAACGUGGUUGUGGCACAUGGAAUACAUUUAGAUUUUCUUGUUAGACCUGCAGUUUUUUUAUCACUAACACAUAUAUAGGAGUCGUCCCUAACAACCAAUGAGAAUACAUAUUGCAAUGUGCAAAAUAUAUUUGCUGAUAACUGCAAUUUAAGCAGUUUUAUUUUAUGUUAAAGGGACAUAAAAGUCCAAAUUAAACUUUAAUGAUUUAUAUAGAGCAUACAAUGUUAAAAGACUUCACUUUACUUCUAUUAUCAGUUACUUUGCUCUUUUUGUAUCCUUUGUUAAAAAACACAUGUAAAGAAGCCUGGGAGUAGCAACACACUACUGAAAGCAGCUGGUGUUUGGUGACUUCACACAUAUGUCUCUUGUCGUUGGCUCACCAGAUGUGUUCAGCUAACUCCCAGUAGUGUACUACUAAUCUGCAACUUUACAAGAGUUAAACAAUAUUGCAAUUAUAAAAUAAUGUAAUACAUUAGAACAUUUUCUUCCCUUUAAAGGGACAGUAAACACCACAUAUAAAAUCACUUUAUUUUAAAUAUAUUACAUUGCUGAGUACUCUUUUUAUUUCCAAUUCACAUCCUCUAUCAGUAGUUUGUCCCAGCUACAUUUUCAAAGUACAAUCCAGACCGUUAGUUAUGGCCCCCAAACUCAGCCCCUAAUUAUGAAUCGAGUUUACCUGUUCUAUCAAUGCCCCUCUUAGAUGCAACUCGCAAAUCAGUUAUUACUUCAGUUCACGUACUGUUGCGCUUGCGUCAUCAUUUCUAAGCCCACGUCGACUGCCGCAUGUGCGCAUGCGCAACCUCCAGGGGGAGCUAAUAUUCCGGAACCAUAUAUUUACAAUGUAUUUGUGAACGUCAGUGGCAGUUACGUUGAGUUGUCACCUUCACUGCGUGAUGACAUAUUGCUACAGAUCGUGAGCGAGCAGCAAUUUUGAAAAUGAAAUAUACACAAGGGUGAAGAAGGAAAAGGGAGGAGGAGUUUAGGGGCCAUUUUUGAAGGAGAAAUAGAGAUAUGAACGGUAACGAUUAUGAGAGCCGAUGAUGGCAUUCACUAAAGGGGGUAUGUGUACAUUGUUUAAUAGCUUAUAUCGUUUGAUCCAAAAUAGAGUUGUAAGUGCUGUUUACUGUCCCUUUAUUAUUUCAAACAUUAUUUUACUGCAAUAGUUUUUUUUUUUAUGGUGAAAACUACUCUGCAGUGCAGAAAAUGUAAAUCUAAUCCUAGCAAACAGAUGUGCACUACAUGAUUAUGCUUUGCUAUUACUUAGUGAAUUAAAAAAAUUACUGACCAUGGGAUGCUAUAGAGUUUUGCAAACUUUAAGGGACAGUUUACCCAAAAAACUUCUCUCCUUUAAUGUGUUUCCAAUUAUCCAUUCUACCUGCUGGAGUGUAUCAAUUGUUUUACAAAUAGCUCCUUAGAUUUUAUAUUGGCAUUUGAAAUAGCUGAUUUAGCCUGCAGUAUCCCUAUCUACACUGAAAGUUUCUAUACCUAGGUAUAGGCUUUUGAGAAAUUAUGUAAACACAGCCAGCAGAAGAAAUUUACACUCACAGUGGGAGGUGGAAGAGAUAAAGCUCUAAAAUGUUAAUUUUUAACAGAGACAGAGAUAAGAAAGGGAAGCAUUUGAGUAAUAAGAUAACAAGAUCUGAUCUGUCAGCAAGCCAAGCCUAUUUUGGUAGGCUGUGGUAUCAAAGAGCAAAUCUAGCUAUUUAUUUUGCUAUAAGAAGUAUAAAUGAGCAAUUUCUUACACAUUUUAUACACUGCAGCUGGUAUAUCAAGUCAUGGGGAACACAUUCAGGGAAAAACUAUUUUACAGUGAACUGUCCCUUUAAGAAUUAUUGUGUGUAAAGAAAUGCUAGUGACUUGCUGCAUUUCAUUACUUUACUUGCUAAUGACUCUUCAACAAAAAAAAAUUAAAGCUGAUAAAUAUAAUCAGUUAUUCACAGUUUAACCCAAAUGUCUGCCAUAUGGGGUUGCAGCACAUUUCUAUGUAAUCCUUUAUGGGCAUAAGACUGUGGGCUGGUGACAUUCCUUCCGCACACAAAUGCCUACAUGUAACGAUUGGUAGAUAUGUGCCAAAGAUAUGUGGUUCAUGUUCUACAUAAUCCAGGCCAAAGGCAACAUAGCCGGCAUUGUGCUUUUUGAUCUUGAGCCAGACGUCAAAUAUUUCUCAUCGAUUGCAUCAUAGAAUUUGUCUUGGUAUAAAAUGUAUAUUCAGAUUCAUCUUUGCAUCCUGACAAAAGAAUCUGAUUUAAUGAGGUGGUGAGCGCUAUCACAGCAAGCAAUCAUUUUUCAAAAUGGUUUAAAGGGACUUGAAACACAAACCUUUUCAUGAAUCAGAUUUUAAACACCUUUCUAAUUUACUUUGUUCUUUUGGUAUCUUUUGUUGAAAUGCAGGGGCAUAAACUUAGGAACGUGCACGUGUCUAGAGCACUAUAUGGCAGCAGUUUUGAAGAAUGUAAUACAUUUGCAAGAACACUAAAUGUCAGCACUAUUUUCUGCCAUGUACUUCUCCAGACACCUAGGUAUCUAUUCAACAAGGAAUACCAUGGGAACAGGGGCGCAUUUUGGAUAAGGCUAACAAGGCACUUGCCUAGGGCUGCAGACAGGAGGGGCAGCACUUUUUGAGUUUCUGUUGGUAGCAGAAGGUGACUUAACUAGCGCUAGCUGUCUGUAUUGUGUAUAUAUAUAUAUCCAAAAAGGGAAAGCACAAUCAUAAAAAUUUUCUUAGUGCCAACGUGCACUUUAAUCCAAGCAAAGAUCCAUAUCCAAUAAAAAGGCAGUCAUUGGUCUUCUUGCAUUAGAACAUAGCAUUUAUUUAAGCAAAUGUUAAAAAGGACAUAACAUUUUGGUGCACAUUAGCGCCUUUGUCAAAUGUCACAUAAAAGGUUUAACAGUAUAAACCUAAAAGCAAUUGGCAAAUAGAACAAUACCAUCACCUUAAAUACCUUAACAAACAAUACUAAUGACCAACCAGUUCCCCUCCACACCAACAUGCGGCAGUGACGUCAUCAUCGACCGCCGUCGCAUGACGCGUCAUCACCCCGUGUGAGCGGUACCAUAGUUACCAAUCAAAACAACUACGCUAAGGGACCGGAUACAUAAUAAUUAUCAAAGUACCAUACAUACUUAAUCAGUAAAUUUAUUCAUCAUCUACAAAUCUACUAUUAUAGAUUAUCUAAUCUUUAACCCCUAAUGGAGAAAAUGGCCACAUAAAAAUACACAAAGUAGUGCCAUUAGCUAAUCAGGCAGUGAGAAAAACGAUAACUUGCAUAAUGCCCUUAUUGUUCCCAUAGGGGUUAGUAUACUCCACCUACAACAGGCAAGUUCAAUUUAUAUAGGGUAGGGAUACUGCAAAUAUUGAGAACGAUACAUACAUAUACCACAUCAGUGACGAGUACAUGGGUAUCCAGCAAAAGACAUAUUAGUGCUCAAUAACUAGGACCAUAUCAUCCUUUCAAUAAGACCCACAUAUAUACACUACUGUCUUCAAUGCCUCCUGAGGUAUGGGUGGAAACCAGAACUCCAGUGAGUGCCCAUUUGGAACCGACAUCCAUGUAAAACUUCGGAAUGAUGCUUUGGCAUAGAUUAAUAGAAUGGACUAAAGUCCAAAGAGGUGUUAAGACCCCUAGAGGCCAGAGUGUCCAUCCUGUAGAUCCACUUGCUCCCAAGUUGCAAGAGCCUGUUAGCCCUAUUGCCACCCCUAGACAGUGGGGGUAUAUGAUCUAUAAGCAUGGAUCUUAAGCUAGAGACACUGUGUUUAUGAUUGGCAAAGUGACGUGCCACCGGUUGAUCGGAUUCUACUUUUGAAAGCGAUUCCCGAAUGUCACACCGAUGGACUUCUCUUUGUCUUGUUUUAAUGGUAUUGCUGGAUAAUCGUCUUUAGGAAGGAUCACUUGAUGUUUUCCGAGUCCCAUUAAGAUUUGAACAGAUAACUGGACUAGUGGAGACAUCAUUGGAAAUUUGUUCUAUCAUUGUGGAUGUAAUACUGUUUGUCUUCUUCCUUUAUCUGUGAUUAAAGGGACAUGAAACCCAUUUUUUUAUUUCAUGAUUUAGAAAGAGCAGCAAUUUUAAACAACUUUCCAAUUUACUUCUGUUAUCUGAUUUGUUUCAUUCUCCCGAUAGCCUUUGUUGAAAAGCAUAUAAAAAUUGGCUCAGUAGCUGCUGAUUGGUGACUGCACAUAGAUGCCUCGUAUGAUUGGCUCACACAUGUGCAUUGCUAUUUCUUCAACAAAGGAUAUCUGAAGAAUGAAGCAAAUUAAAUAAUAAAAGUAAAUUGUAAUAUAGUUUAAAAUUGUAUUGUGUAUCUGAAUCACAAAGGAAAAUGUGGUGUUUCAUGUCCCUUUAAGCUACUAUUUGUUCAUUUAAUUUUUUAAUGGAUAAAACUACCUUUCAGAACGUGGUAUAUAUAAAAAAAAAAGAAUGUGUACAUUUUGAUAAUUGAAGUAUUUUGUAGUUUUUUCCCUAAUUUCUAGCUAACUGUAUAAACUAUGAAUUCUUAAAGGGACAAAAGACAAAGUUAAACUUUUUCAUGAUUUAGAUAAGGCAUGCAAUUUUAAACAACUUUCCACUUUACUUUUAUUAUCAAAUUAGCUUUGUUCUCUUGGUAUUCUUUGUUGAAAGCUAAACCUAGAUAUGCUCAUAUGCUAAUUUCUAAGCCCCUGAAGGCCACCUCUUAUUUCAGUGCAUUGACAGUAUAUCACAACUAGACAGUGCUAGUUCAUGCCUGCCAUAUAGAUAACAUUGUACUCACUCCCGUUGAGUUAUUUAUGAGUCAGCACUGAUUUGCUAAAAUGCCAGUCUGUCAAAAGAAUUGAAAUAAGGAGCAGUCUGCAGAUGCUUAGAUACAAGGUAAUCACAGAGGUAAAAAGCGUAUUAUUAUAACUGUGUUGGUUAUGCAAAUAAAAGGAUGAUGAUACACAAUCUCAAACUGACAAGUGAGAGAUCUUAAGGGGGCGCACUAAAUUAUACCACCAUACAAUAACUCUCUCCACCACUCCGAUGCGUGCACUGUUCUCUCCAAUCCCAAAGUCAAUUCAUCUAAAAUGAUAUAAAUGAGAAGAAGGUGCCUUGUUGGUGCAGCACAGUUACACUUAAAGUGAAGGUAAAGUUUUGUUAAGCAGCAAUGGUAUUUAGGAUCCUUUUAAUAACUUCAAUCCAGUCGCUAGGUUUGUUUUUUACAAAUAUUUAGUUAUUUAGGUAUUUUUCUAACAAUAGUUUUGUUACCGUUCCGUGCAGAUUCUCCUCCCACCCUCAAGUUCCGGGUUUAUGAUACUGUGACGUAUAGAGCGGUCCCACCCGCUCUAUACGUGUCUACUACGCUCGUGCACAUCGAGCAUGGAAUAACAGCGCAUGCGCAUCAUUUGUUCUCAGCGAUCUUUGCGCAUGCGUUAAUCCCGGUUGUCGCUCUCUACUGCGCAUGCGAAAAUACUUAGCAAGUUCCUCGGCAGCUCCUACUAUGACUACUACCUAAAGUUUAUACUGCGCAUGCGCGAAAUGAGGACGCGCGCGGAUGGAAAAUGAGAAGUAGAAAAUGUUACGCAUGCGCAUAUAGACCCAUCUGUUGAUGACGAAAUUUGACGGCCGCCUAACGGCCAGAGAAUCAAUUGGAUGGCUCAACCACGUGAUAGUUCUUUAUAAAAAAAAAACAUUGAACGGGUUGAUUUUCGGAAAGCCGAUUACAUGACAAUAAAAUAAGAUAUCUCAGGUAAUAUAUAUUUUGGGGAAUAUUGAUGAAUGAAACUUAUAUUUAUUUGCCUUGAUAUCUAUAAUUGUUUAUAAUAGAGUGUUUGACUUUACCUUCACUUUAAAUGGAUAUGUAAUAGAAUAAUCAAGUACUCAAAAAGUGUCACCCAAUUGUGCUUAGUAGCACAUGCUAGGAUUUCCCAGUGUCCCAGCUCACUGAAACCAGGUUUAGAGUCAGCGACUCUCUGCUUUGCCGGAAGGUGAUGAUUCAAAUGAUGUUAUUAUUAACAAUUUCAGGAUUAAAAAAUUGUUUAUUAAAAGUUGCAACAGCAUAAAAACAUAUAGGAGCAGAUACACUCUCUCCUUUAACAGAAUUGCUAUGCUUUUCUCAGCUGUGCUGUUUCAUAAGCCAUCUAAGGUGCCUUUACUAGCCACAGACCUCUAAGACCCCUUGAAAGAGAAUUACCUGUUUGUUCAAAUGGUGGUCUUGGAAACACAACUAGAUGGGUUUUGUUUUUUUAAGUAUAACAAAUACUUAGGAAUUUUCUUGGGAAUGGGACAUUAUAUACUCAAUAACAAAUCUGUUAUGUCUAGAACACUAAUAAAGUUUAUUUUCUAGUAGACAAGUCCCUCUCUUAAAAAAAAAAGAUAUGAAUUUUGCCUGUAUAGUCAGGUGAUCGCUAUGGUAACAAUGAACACUUUGCAAGAAACAAAAAGUGAUUUUAUUUCUGUACUGUACAAUGUACUCCCAAAAGCCCAUAUGGGUCCCUAUUUCACAUGUGACUACCCUUGAUGACAAUUUAGUAUGGUAAUCACAGUUACUGCAGUGGUCACAGCCAUUUUCAGUAUUAUUUACUAAAACAUCAACUAAAAUGCACAUUUUGUUUUACAGGCAUUUUGUAACUUCAGCUAAGGAAUAGCUUAUACCAUUAUCAGUUCGCUUCAGGGGUCCUGAUGACCACACAUUAGAAAUAAUCAGCGCCUUAUAUCAUCUAAACAUGAAUAAUAUUUUGUUGUCUUUGGAAAAUGAUUACCUAUAUGGUGUAUAACAAUAAGCUUUGUAAUAUUUUAUAUUUAUUUAUGUAAACCAAAAAAAAUUGUUUUUAAAGUUUUUGCUCACCUUCACUAUACGUAUAUUGGUAUGACCCACUGAGGGUGUGACUUUUUUCUGAUCAAUGAUUGGUUUAUUUAUUAUUUUAAAUAUGGCAGCUGAUGUAUAGCCUGAUGAAACAGUGUGUUACACUGAGAAACGCGUUGCUGUUGUUUUUAUUGUUAAUACAUUUGUACCUUAUUUUUAACUCUC